rnacentral:lncRNA from 1 species
CUCGUCUGCCUGGUAGAGUGGGGGGCGCUCCCUGAGCUGCUGUCGCAGUGAUUUCCACCGAUCCUCCAGCAACUGCUUCACUGGGUCCAGCUCCAGGCGGUCCAGCUGUGGCAGGGAAAGGGGGCCCAGGGGACCUCUAAGGAAGCAGGUAGGGGGCUGACCCAGGAGAAGGUGGUGCUGUCCCAAUCCUGGAGGCAGGGCUGUGGGAUGGAGAGCCCCGCCAUGCCCCUGCCUUACCUUGUUGUCCAUCUCUGUGAGCAGCUUGUCCAGCAUCUUCUGCCAGUCCUGCUCCUGCCCGCUCAUCUUGGCCACCAGCUCCUGCAUCAUGUGGUUCAGCUGCUCCGUGGUGGCAUCAAACUGGAUACGGCUCACUUUGGUGGCCAGAGCACUCUUGUCGGCUUUCUGCCCAGAGACAGAGGUCCCCGCAUCUGGGAGAUGGCCAUGGAGGGGCCCCAUUCCCUGGUGGUGUCAACCCCUAACACCAGGCAGGUUUCUGAGCGCCCACACUCCUCUUGCCAGCUUCCCUCCACUCAGUCUCUCAAAGAACAGCCGGCGAGACUGCCCUGGGACACAGCGUGGCCCCUGGGGCCUGGCACCCACCACAUCAAUCUCCAUCUCCAGGUGCUCCCUGUUGGCCUUUUCCUUUUCGAGCUUCUCCAGACCCUGGUACAGCAUCUGGGGAGGCCAAGUGAACAGAGGAAAAAAGAGCCAGCAGCUACGGGGCUGUGGCACCACACUGAGCCCCGGCCCCAUCCCGGCCACCCUGCGGCCACUCACAGCAAUGUCCUUCUGUUUCUGCCGAUGGUCCUCGAUGAGGUUGCUGGUGGUGAUGUUAAGCUUCUCGCAGUCGCCCUGCACCUGCAGGAUGGCACUCUGCACGCGGCCCAGCAGCUCCUCGUCCUGCGGCAGGAGGGAUGGGAAGGCUCUCGGAGGCUGCUGGCGCGAUCCUACCCCCUGCUGCCUUAGUAUUGCUGCCCCCAGGUAAGUUGGCCCUUAAAACAUCUCCAAGGCUGGGAGCGGUGGCUCAUGCCUGUAAUCCUGGCACUUUGGGAAGCUGGGGCGAGGCAAGAGGAUCACUUGAGCCCAGGAGUUCGAGAACAGCCUGGGCAACAUAGGGAGACCCUGUCUCAAAAACAACAAUGGAGCCGGGCGCGGUGGCUCAAGCCUGUAAUCCCAGCACUUUGGGAGUCCGAGACAGGCGGAUCACGAGGUCAGGAGAUCGAGACCAUCCUGGCUAACACGGUGAAACCCUGUCUCUACCAAAAAAAUACAAAAAAAUUAGCCGGGCGAGGUGGCGGGCGCCUGUAGUCCCAGCUACUUGGGAGGCUGAGGCAAGAGAAUGGCCUAAACCCGGGAGGCGGAGCUUGCGAUGAGCUGAGAUACAGCCACUGCACUCCAGCCUGGGUGACAGAGCAAGACUCUGUCUCAAAAAAAAAAAAA